GCAUCGGUGGUGCAACGGUUAGCAUGGUUGCUUUCCAAGCAAUCGAUCCGGUUUCGAAUCCCGGCCGACACA
rfam:Octopus bimaculoides Scaffold32407_contig_4, whole genome shotgun sequence.